rfam:Patagioenas fasciata monilis isolate BTP2013 Sc31e1R_52, whole genome shotgun sequence.
CUUAUCAAUCGCUCAGUAGUCAGUGUAGAUCCUGUCUUUACAAUCAGCAGCUACAUCUGGCUACUGGGUCUCUGAUGACAACU